GAUGAACGCUGGCGGCGUGCCUAAUACAUGCAAGUCGAGCGAACAGACGAGGAGCUUGCUCCUCUGACGUUAGCGGCGGACGGGUGAGUAACACGUGGAUAACCUACCUAUAAGACUGGGAUAACUUCGGGAAACCGGAGCUAAUACCGGAUAAUAUAUUGAACCGCAUGGUUCAAUAGUGAAAGACGGUUUUGCUGUAACUUAUAGAUGGAUCCGCGCCGCAUUAGCUAGUUGGUAAGGUAACGGCUUACCAAGGCAACGAUGCGUAGCCGACCUGAGAGGGUGGUCGGCCACACGGGAACUGAGACACGGUCCAGACUCCUACGCGAGGCAGCAGUAGGGAAUCUUCCGCAAUGGGCGAAAGCCUGACGGAGCAACGCCGCGUGAGUGAUAAAGGUCUUCGGAUCGUAAAACUCUGUUAUUCGGGAAGAACAAAUGUGUAAGUAACUAUGCACGUCUUGACGGUACCUAAUCAGAAAGCCACGGCUAACUACGUG
rnacentral:rRNA from 1 species